UAAUUUUAUAACAGAAUAUAUUUGACGUCUUGUUCUCGCUGCAUCGAUGAUCGACCCGAGCUCCGCGCUCCCGACGCUUGGUUCUUCCCCUUGAUCGGAGGAGCUGAAUCCCGCGAAGACGAACGUAGAUCCAUCUUCUUCCUCUCAGGUUCCUCCUCCUCGAUCUUGAGGGAGAAGGCGACUCUGAGUUGUAACUUCGCUUCCGAUUUUUGAAGCUUGCCUCGGCUCUGGCCUUGUCUGGUGGUCGAUUCGAAAUUCGUUUUCUUCUCCGUUUCCUUUUCAUGCUAAAAUGGCGGCGCUGCCGGAUCUGGUCCUGGAUUUGGAUCGGGAUGGGAGGAAUAUCAAUGGCGCCGAGGCGGUGGGCUUCUUUCAGGGUUACAAUUUGCCGAGACAUGUUUUCGCCAAGUUCUGUUCCGAAGCUCACUGGUGAAUCGUGAAGCAAUGGGUAACUCUUUAAGGUGACAUUUGGUAUCAUUGUUAGGCUGGCUCUAGAAUGAAAUGGAACAGAAUCGAAUCAAGGUUGCAAUCUGAACAUGAAAGGGCUUCUGGGUUGAACUUGCAAGGGGAAGAUCACCAAAAAACCCUCAAAACAUUCAACAUCAAGAAUGACUUCACACCUCGAGGAAGAUGAAAAGAUUACACUGACCUUCGAAUAAUGUGUUAUCCAUUCAGAUCGCACAUUCCAUAUAUUGGUAUAUCAUAGCAAAUCUACUGAGAGUAAACUUUGAACUUCAACACAUUUUAUUUAUCAAAAGUUUAGUUGGUCUAUUUUAUAGGUUCAAUUUGUUCUUUUUUUAUUAUUGGGGGUAUCAAGAAAGGAUAAAAUGUGGUUGGAUUUGAAUUUGAUCAACUACCUUAGAAGGUGAUAGAACAAGUACGAGUAGAUUAUUACGUACUCAUCGUACAAAUGAGAUAGGUAUGGAAAAUAUACCAAGUCAGUAUGAAUAUGGAUAGUAGAAAAUUCUUAGGUACUCUAUCUAUUGUGUUCCCUAGAUAAAAGUUUAUAACCUUAGAUAUGGGAGAUAUCUUUAAGACAAUGUCCUCAUACAAUUUUCAUAAUGAACUAUUGGAUAAAAUAAUGUGAAACGUACGGCACAAUAUUGAUAUAGUUUCUUUUAUCUAAAGCUACAAAUACUUACAAGAACAGAUGUUGACCUAUCAGUGAACUCUCUGGCUAGGGGAUGAUAUUCUUUGUUAAUGCAAUCAAACAACUAAAUAAGAGUAUGAGCCAAGCACACAAUUGAACAAAUUUAAACAUGUAAUAUACAAAGAAGAAUUUGGUGGGUUUUCAUUUCAUGUUGUUUUUGUUUCUUUGGCAUUGUGCUUAUUUCUUAUUUGAAAUUUAGCAAAUCAUUCAUGUGUUUAAUUGGGUUGAACCAGCCUUAGGAUGAUCCAUUGACAGAGCAAUAGCUGGCACUUUGAUCAACCGAUUUGUCAAAGAACAAAUUUUUAAGGUUGAUUCAUGAUGGUUCUUAGUGUUUUGAGCCUCUUGAAUGAGAUGACCAUGCUUCCUCAAAAGUAAAAAAAAAGAUGGAAACGAAACAAAGAAAAGUAAUACAAGUAAUAAACGAAGAUCCACAUGAGGAGCAUGUCGUGAAUAAUGAGAAUGGCACUUAUAUGGGAUACCUUAGAUUUUUAUUACAUACAAACAUUUUAUUUCAUGGUAACUUUAUUAUACAUAUAUAUGAUACAUAUCCAUGAUAGAAGUACCAUUGGCACACUUAUAGAACACUAACCUGGUAACAACUAGUACAUCUCCCCGAUCUCAACUAGUCAUUAAGACAAAGAUACAGAGGACGAGCUACUGUUAAACUCAACCAAAUCUACCAUAAUUUGUCCUGUAAAACCUGGGCCGGGUGGUCACAAAUAGAAGUCCUCCGAAUUCCCUAGCAACUUGGGUGCUAUCAAUCAUCACCUCUAUCUUUGGAGGAGUGUUGUAGUGGAAGUAUCCAUUAGGAGGAGGGGGUGCAGCUGUUGACCUCCUCCUCCCAAAGUGCUCCUCUAACAUAUCAAAAGCCUCUCUUCCCACCUUACCAAGGUCUCUCUGAGGUGGUGCCAUAAGUGGAUGGGCCUUUGAGAAGAUGGAACUCAAGGUGACCACUAGCUUUUUCUUGCUGAACACCAAACAACUGUACGGGUAUCCUUUUUAUAAGCGAGGUUUGGAUCAAUGUUUGAGAUCCAACCCCGGCUUGCCUGGCCCAACCAACUAAAACAAUAAUGGAAGACUAAAUUAGUCUUGAACCGAUUCAAUCCGAUCGAGAAUUCACUUUAGUUGACUAGGAGUCAAGGUCUAGCUUUUUUUUUGCCUUUCGGUGGUCUUGGGAUUCCUCUUUGAUCAGUUGUUGGCAUUGAUGCUCUUCCAAUUUCCUGAAAUUAUUGUGUGAAAGGAAUAUUUAAGGUGAUGAUUUGAAUUGCUUGAGGUUAUGGUAGAUAAGAGAGAAGAAAAGCAUAUGAUGAUACAUCUGAUGUUGGUAAAGAGAAUUAUUGGGAUAAGUAUUAUGGUAGAAGUAUUGAUUGAAACAAAAGUUUGUUUAUUUGAGUUUGGAAUUAGAUGCGGCAAUCAUGCAUUAUUCUGUAACUUUAUUGAGCCUAACUUGUUGGCAAGUGCCUUGAAUAUGUUGGAUAUAGAUGAUGAACUACAUGUGCAACACAAUCAGAAUUUCAAAUCGAUUCAUUGGUGAGUGAACAUAACCUACAAUAUAUUCAUCCUUGUUUAGAGCUGUUUUAUCCCCCAAUUUGAUUCAUUUUUUCUGUAUUCUUUUAGUUCAAUAAUUUUCGUUUUAAAAAAACAUAUUUCAGGUAAGUUAAAUCUAAAGAUGAAAUAUUCUCAUUCCUUUUUAUCUUGCAUGUUGUGAACAGAGCAUCCUUGUUUAUUGUAUAUUGAUCAGGUGGAACUCUCUAGUUCGAAGUGUAUACCUUACCAAAAAAAUAUUCUUUUAUUCCGGUACAAUAUUUCUUAUUUUAAUUAUUCUCCACAAAAUUAGAAUAAGGAUUUUUGUUUUUUGUAAGCUCCCUGUGGGUUCGUAUAUUGUUGCCACUUGAUAUUUUGGGAAUCAAAUUGCGUGAGUGGCCAUUGCCAUUGGAUUUCUG